GCAGCUGUUCCCGAGCGGUCAAAGGGGCGGGUCUUAAGAUCCCGUGCGAAAGCUUCGUGGGUUCGAAUCCCACCAGCUGCA
rnacentral:tRNA from 1 species